rnacentral:rRNA from 1 species
ACCUCCUUGUAACAAAAUUAAGAGCUACUCAAAGGAGGUACAGCUCCUUUGACAAAGAAUACAACCUCCCCUAGCGGAUAACCACACAGACCUCCUCCCCUUGUGGGCCUUAAAGCAGCCACCAACAAAGAGUGCGUCAAAGCUCAUAACCCCAAAAAUCCAAAAACACACGCGACUCCCUUACCCACAAUAGGCCAACCUAUAACAAUAGAAGAAUUAAUGCUAAAAUGAGUAACCUGAGAUCAUCCCUCCAAAAGCGUAAACUUACAUCAGCACAUUAUUAACAGAUCACUUAUACCCCCACUCUAACAAGAACACAUAUUCCUUCCCCUGUUAAACCCACCCAGGAGCGCCUACUGGACGAUUAAAAUCUGUAAAAGGAACUCGGCAAACUCCAAGGCUCGACUGUUUACCAAAAACAUAGCCUUCAGCCAACAACAAGUAUUGAAGGUGAUGCCUGCCCAGUGACAUCAAAGUUAAACGGCCGCGGUAUCCUAACCGUGCAAAGGUAGCGCAAUCAAUUGUCCCAUAAAUCGAGACUUGUAUGAAUGGCUAAACGAAGUCUUAACUGUCUCCUGCAGAUAAUCGGUGAAAUUGAUACUCUCGUGCAAAAGCGAGAAUAUGAACAUAAGACGAGAAGACCCUGUGGAACUUAAAAAUCAACAGCCACCUAAUCAAAUACCUUUCCCCCAUGCGGACCCACCCAUCAUUACCAGCGCCUGGCCAGUAUUUUUCGGUUGGGGCGACCUUGGAGAAAAAAAAAUCCUCCAAACAACUCAGGCUACAACCCUUCACUAAGAGCUACCACUCAAAGUACUAAAAGUCACUAGACCCAAUACAAUUGAUCAAUGGACCAAGCUACCCCAGGGAUAACAGCGCAAUCCCCUCCAAGAGCCCAUAUCGACAAGGGGGUUUACGACCUCGAUGUUGGAUCAGGACAACCUAAUGGUGCAGCCGCUAUUAAGGGUUCGUUUGUUCAACGAUUAACAGUUCUACGUGAUCUGAGUUCAGACCGGAGCAAU